GACGAACGCUGGCGGCGUGCUUAACACAUGCAAGUCGAACGGAAAGGCCCUGCUUUUGUGGGGUGCUCGAGUGGCGAACGGGUGAGUAACACGUGAGUAACCUGCCCUUGACUGUGGGAUAACUUCAGGAAACUGGGGCUAAUACCGGAUAGGAGCUCCUGCUGCAUGGUGGGGGUUGGAAAGUUUCGGCGGUUGGGGAUGGUCUCGCGGCUUAUCAGCUUGUUGGUGGGGUAGUGGCGUACCAAGGCUUUGACGGGUAGCCGGCCUGAGAGGGUGACCGGCCACAUGGGGCCUGAGGUACGGCCCAGACUCCUACGGGAGGCAACAGUGGGGAAUAUUGCGCAAUGGGCGGAAGCCUGAUGCAGCAACGCCGCGUGCGGGAAGACGGCCUACGGGGUGUAAACCGCUUUCGCCUGUGACGAAGCGUGAGUGACGGUAAUGGGUAAAGAAGCACCGGCUAACUACGUG
rnacentral:rRNA from 1 species